ACAGUAGGACAGAUCUCAGGUCAGGUCAGAUGAUGUAGGUCAUUCAGUUCACAGCCAACAGAACCAUGUGACUGUGUUUAAAAGAUAUCAGAGACUUUCAGAGAGGAUCCGACUGGUUCACUGACUGAUUUACUGACUAGUUUACUGGCUGGUGACUGUCCUGAUGUUGUGGCUUUGUGGAAUGAAAGUUCUUCAGCAUAGUAACAGUUGCUUAGGAUGCGUGUGCGCAGGGAAGUGGAAACAGUUCAGAUCUGCAGCUGCUUUUACUUAUAAGGAAACACCCAGUUUGAUUGGAAUGAUUGGAAUGACAUGAUGAUUGGCUGCCAGCACACUCACGCAGACACACAGACGCACACAGACUCACACAGUGUAAAAACAGUAACUACAGUGUUUUGAUUACAGUACAUUCCUCCAUCAUUGAUUCUACUGUUUGUCCAUCAGGUGGCGAUGUGAAAUGUCAGUGUGUAAAACACACUGUGUUAACUUUGCUCAGAAGGAUUAAAACCAUAGUGUAGAGCUCCCUCUUGUGUUAGUGCUACUCUUAUAUCUUCUCCAUCCAGCAGGAAGUCACCUUCAGUUCAGGAUUUCCCAUCAGGCCUCUGUUUCUGCACCAACUGUUGCUCAACAAUCUUAUCAGAGGAAAUUCAUCAAGAAUGUUCUUUUACCCUUUUAAACUUUUCCACACUGUAAGAAAUACCAACAUGACAAUGUCUGUGUGUGUGUGUGUGUGUGUGUGUGUGUGUGUGUGUGUGUGUGAGAGAGAGAGAGAACAGUGAAGUUUCUGUUUCAGAGGAACCAUCAGGUUGUUUUCUUUUCUGUUGAGUUUUAAAGUUUCAGAAUCAGAAACGAAACUUUGACUCACACACACAUACACGUAGACCCUGUCUUCAGGGACUGAAACAAAUAAUCAUUUUAUUCAGUUUCUCACAGAGAGAGUCAGAGGGUCAGAGGGUCAGCAGCUCAAUAUAAAAGAUGGCAAGUCAAAGCUGGCAUUGACUCCACCCCAAGCUGAGCUGAGCUGUGAUUGGUCAGAGCAGCGACAGGGGGCUGGACAAAUUCCCCUGUGGAAAAAAAUAACGUUUUUCUAUAAUUAAAUGCCUGAGAUUGGACUGAGAUCCAGAUCUGAGUCAUCCUGGGUGAAGCCCUGCCCCACCCACAAAGACACACCCAACCACACCCUAGAAGAAGCUGUGAAAAAAAGAAGAUACAGGAAGUGAAGCUAGAACCAUUUCUGAAUGAUAGAUGCUGAUGUCACAGUGUGGGCGUGUCCUUGUCUACUGGAGGUACUCGUUGCUGGAUGAUUAUGUCAACAGUCAGACAAUGAUGGAGCACGUUCUGGGGUUGAUGAGCCUGGUCCUGGUCUCUGCCUGUGUGCUACCUGUUGGCCAGGCGGCGGGCGCUCUUCCUCCACCUGCUUUGUUGGUAAAAAUGGGACAAAAUGUGGCACUGCACUGCCCCCUGCUGGACAACACCAAGACCGUUUCAUCAGUCAGUUGGUACAGAAAGUGGUGGGGGCGUAGCCCACAGCUGAUUGUCUCCAUGACCACGCCCACAAAUGGCUCUGACGUCACACACGGUCCCGGUGUGGCUGCAGACAAAGUGUUGAUGGGAGUCGAUGGAUCUCUGCAUCUGACAAAAGUCCAGCUCACCGACUCAGCAAAUUAUUUUUGCUGCAUUGUCAUGACACCGAUCAGCUAAUCUGUCGACACGUCAAACAUGUCUGUCUAAAUAAAAUAGGGUCGUUCAAACGUAACGUUUCUGGGUUUAGUCCUGUUGUUCUGGUGCCGUUCAUCAACUUCUGUCUUCACUUUGUUGGCGUUGGCUUAGCCUUCAAUAACACCUUAGCUUUUAUUAGCAUUAGCCUAACACCUUAUCUUCUUGCUUUGUCGUCAUUGACUCCUCCUCUGGACUCAGUGAAUCCUCCUCUGGGCUUCAACAACUUCCUGUUUUUGUUAUUUAACUGAUAUCAGAUCAGUCUGUGCUCAUUCAUGUGUGUGAACAGUUUGAAACUCCUCAGUCCGAUGAUGACCUCUCCUCUGUUUCUCCUUCUCCUCCUCCUCAGAUGUGCAUGUGUGUGCACGUUAGUGCAGUUCAGUGUGGAGACUCAGCUGCUGGUUCUCACAGAUGAAGAAUAUCAUCAUCAUCACAGUGAAAACUCAGGCCACUCCUCUGAGAAUCUCUGGAGCUACAGACACACAUCCUGUCAAAUCCCACACUACAGCAGUGACAGUGAAGGCAUCACAUCAUCAUUGGCUUAGUG